UUAGAACAAAAGGAGUCGGUCGGGGAUUGAGAGGAAAGGGAGCAGCUAGAGCUCGACCGAGAUCCUCCAACCCCAAAACACCGUGCGACAACCAACGGCGAUUCCGCCGCCUUCAGAGCAGUUCCGGCCGGCGCACCGGCCUCUUUGUGAUCGCCGUUACGCCGCCGUCCUCCCUGUGGCUUUGGUUCUUGCCAUCUGCAACGGAGGAGUGAGAAUCAAAGAAGGAACCGUCGACUCCCUCCGGCGACAUCGCGGCGUUUUCCGGCGUCCUCCGGUCACGUUUUGUGUUGAUUGUUAUGGGUUUUCUGUUCUUCGUUGUUCUUCGAUAUUGAGGGCUAUCCUGGCUUGAUUCCAAUCUUCUUAGCGUAUGUGGUGAGGCCUUGAAUCCAAUUGGGAACUUUCCGGAUUGAGCUGAUCACUUGACUCCGAAUUGGUGGAUUUCUGCUCAUUGAAUUCGUGAGAAAGCUUCUGCUACAUGGAGUUUCCAAAGGUAGAUUACAGCUUGAAUUCAAAGUUAGUUUGGUUAUAUUGGUGUCUUGCUGUAAUCACACGUUUGGAGUUGAAAAAUGGAAUAUGUUGAUAUUCGAUCUGUGAGCAUAGUUUGGGUCUUUUGGCUAUUUGUAAUUACAGAAGGAUAUUAUGAUAAUUGCCUUGAGAUUUCUCGUUUGAUUGAGUGAAAUAUGAAUUGGAAUUUCCUUGGAUUGUAGAAUCUGUGAAGUUUACUGUAAAUGAAAAUCAAUGGAAGUUGUGUGUA